rnacentral:rRNA from 1 species
AGCAGCCGCGGUAAUUCCAGCUCCAAUAGCGUAUAUUAAAGUUGUUGCAGUUAAAAAGCUCGUAGUUGAAUUUCGGGAUUAGUACGCUGGUCGUGCCUUCGGUAUGUACUGGUGUUACUGGUUCCUACCUUCUGACGAACCGUCAUGUCAUUAAUUUGGUGUGGCGGGAAAUCAGGACUGUUACUUUGAAAAAAUUAGAGUGUUUAAAGCAGGCUCGCGCUUGAAUACAUUAGCAUGGAAUAAUGAAAUAGGACGUUCGAUCCUAUUUUGUUGGUUUCUAGGAUUGACGUAAUGAUUAAUAGGGAUAGUUGGGGGCAUUAGUAUUCAAUUGUCAGAGGUGAAAUUCUUGGAUUUAUUGAAGACUAACUACUGCGAAAGCAUUUGCCAAGGAUGUUUUCAUUAAUCAAGAACGAAAGUUAGGGGAUCGAAGACGAUCAGAUACCGUCAUAGUCUUAACCAUAAACUAUGCCGACUAGGGAUCGGAUGAUGUUAUUUUUAAUGACUCAUUCGGCGCCUUACG